rnacentral:ncRNA from 1 species
GUUGCCGUGAGGCAGGGUCUGAAGGAAGGUGUAAGCAAACCUCUGCCCCAACGCACAGAAACCAUUUCAGGCCGAGCAUGGGGGAUAAGGCCGCUAGACAGGCCGAAGUCCAAUAACUGCACGGAACCCAGCUAGGUAAAGAUGGUGGGGACAUGGAGGGAAAGAACGUGUG